CCCCUUUUAGGGUGGCACCUGGAGAGUUUCCAGUACCCUACCAGUCUUGAUUACAGGAGGGAGAGUAAAGCAGAGGCCUACCCAUUCCAUUCCUAGCUUGGCCAGUGGUUAGCGAGUGGAAGGCAAUCUGCAACAAGU
rnacentral:snoRNA from 1 species